rnacentral:rRNA from 1 species
UGGCGGACGGGUGAGUAAUGUCUGGGAAACUGCCUGAUGGAGGGGGAUAACUACUGGAAACGGUAGCUAAUACCGCAUAACGUCGCAAGACCAAAGAGGGGGACCUUAGGGCCCCUUGCCAUCGGAUGUGCCCAGAUGGGAUUAGCUAGUAGGUGGGGUAACGGCUCACCUAGGCGACGAUCCCUAGCUGGUCUGAGAGGAUGACCAGCCACACUGGAACUGAGACACGGUCCAG